GACGAACGCUGGCGGCGUGCUUAACACAUGCAAGUCGAACGGAAAGGCCCUGCUUUUGUGGGGUGCUCGAGUGGCGAACGGGUGAGUAACACGUGAGUAACCUGCCCUUGACUUUGGGAUAACUUCAGGAAACUGGGGCUAAUACCGGAUAGGAGCUCCUGCUGCAUGGUGGGGGUUGGAAAGUUUCGGCGGUUGGGGAUGGACUCGCGGCUUAUCAGCUUGUUGGUGGGGUAGUGGCUUACCAAGGCUUUGACGGGUAGCCGGCCUGGGAGGGUGACCGGUCACAUUGGGACUGGGAUACGGCCCAGACUCCUACGGGAGGCAGCAGGGGGGAAUAUUGCACAAUGGGUGGAAGCCUGAUGCAGCAACGCCGUGUGCGGGAUGACGGCCUUCGGGUUGUAAACCGCUUUCGCUCAUGACGAAGCUUUGUGUGACGGUAGUGGGUAAAGAAGCACCGGCUAACUACGUG
rnacentral:rRNA from 1 species